AACAGGAGCCAGCCUGGGGUGGGGGUGGGGGGCGGGCCGGAGGUAUCACUGCUUGGGGCCACGAGUUGGGGAGGCCGUCGGAGGAGGGUCCUCCCCGAAGGCAGGAAAGAGCUCUUGACAGCAUUACCCCAGAACCCGACCUCAAGACCAUCGCCCCUCCCCCGCGGGGCUUUCCGAGGCCCGGACACCCGACCCUCAAAGCCCCCAAGGCGGCUCCGGCUCCUGCGGGUCCCCUGCCCAUCCCCCAGCAGACUCCCCUCCCCACCCCCACCCCACCCCCGACAGCCUCUCUGGCAGCCGUCCCUGCACCCCUCCCCUCUCCCUCGCCCUCCGCCUUCCGCCCUCUCUCCCCAAGGGAGCUGGCUGGCUCCCCAGCUCCGCCCCCGGCCCCGCCCCUGCCCACAGCCCGCCGGCUCCACCCCUCCCGGCCCCGCUCUGGUCUGCGCUGCACUGCCACCGCCCCCUGACCCUCCGCUGGGGCAGCCUCCGCGGCGGCGGACCCCUCCCCCUCCCCCUCCCGGGGUCCGGGGCCGCCUCCCCCGCCGCUCCGGGCUCUCCCUGCUCGUCCCCCGCCUCCUCACCCCUCCCGACUGCACACUCCCUCCCUUCCUUCCCCCUCCUCUUUUCCUUCCUCCCCUCCCCGGCCCUCUCCUCCCCCACCCCGGCUUCCCUUCUCCUCUCCUCUCUUCACCUCGGUUCCCUCCCCCUCCGAGGCCCCGUCUCCCUUCCCCCUCCGCCUCCCCGGCAGCCUCUCGCUUCCCUUCCCUCCCGAGUCCCACUCCCCAGAACGGCCCCCGCCCCUUUCCCGUCCGCUUUCCGAGCCCCCGCCCCGCCGCCUCCUUCUCUAGCCGCCCCCCACCCAAACCUCGGGGUCUGCGGCUGGGCCGCUCACUCUGGCCCCCGUGCCCGGCCGUGCGCCCCCCUCCCCAGCCUCCCAGCUCACCUCCGCUCCCGCUCGGUGGCCCCCUGCCCCAUUUUUUUGCUCCCCGCCGACUUCUCAAGUUUCCCUCCCCUAGCCCAGGGACCCCUUUCGCCUCCCCGCCCCCCGCGCCCGCGUGGCCCCCCGCCCCGGCCCCUCCGCCCGGAUCUCGCUCUCGCCGCUCCGGGCUCCCGGGCUCACCUGUCAGCGCCCUUCUCGCGCCCCUCCCGAACGCCGGGUCCCCGCGCCUCCCCUUCCUCGCCUUCCCCCGGGCCCCCUCCCCUGAGCCCUCCCCCUCCUUUCCUUGA
rnacentral:lncRNA from 1 species